rnacentral:rRNA from 1 species
UACAGGGGGGCAAGGCGUUGUUCGGAAUUACUGGGCGUAAAGGGUUCGUAGGUGGCUUGCUAAGUCACACGUGAAAUCCCUCAGCCUUAACUGGGGAACUGCCCUCCAAACUGCUUGGCUUGAGUCCGGGAGAGGUGAGUGGAAUUCCCAGUGUAGCGGUGAAAUGCGUAGAUAUUGGGAGGAAUACCAGUGGCGAAGGCGGCUCACUGGACCGGAACUGACGCUGAGGCG